rnacentral:piRNA from 1 species
UAGAUAACUGCCCAAAGGGUGGUCUUUUCU